rnacentral:rRNA from 1 species
UAGCUGGCGCAGCCAACACUGCAGUUCGAACGGUAGCACAGCAGAGCUUGCUCUCGGGUGACGAGUGGCGGACGGGUGAGUAAUGUCUGGGAAACUGCCUGAUGGAGGGGGAUAACUACUGGAAACGGUAGCUAAUACCGCAUAACGUCGCAAGACCAAAGAGGGGGACCUUCGGGCCUCUUGCCAUCAGAUGUGCCCAGAUGGGAUUAGCUAGUAGGUGGGGUAACGGCUCACCUAGGCGACGAUCCCUAGCUGGUCUGAGAGGAUGACCAGCCACACUGGAACUGAGACACGGUCCAGACUCCUACGGGAGGCAGCAGUGGGGAAUAUUGCACAAUGGGCGCAAGCCUGAUGCAGCCAUGCCGCGUGUAUGAAGAAGGCCUUCGGGUUGUAAAGUACUUUCAGCGGGGAGGAAGGUGUUGCGGUUAAUAACCGCAGCAAUUGACGUUACCCGCAGAAGAAGCACCGGCUAACUCCGUGCCAGCAGCCGCGGUAAUACGGAGGGUGCAAGCGUUAAUCGGAAUUACUGGGCGUAAAGCGCACGCAGGCGGUCUGUCAAGUCGGAUGUGAAAUCCCCGGGCUCAACCUGGGAACUGCAUUCGAAACUGGCAGGCUAGAGUCUUGUAGAGGGGGGUAGAAUUCCAGGUGUAGCGGUGAAAUGCGUAGAGAUCUGGAGGAAUACCGGUGGCGAAGGCGGCCCCCUGGACAAAGACUGACGCUCAGGUGCGAAAGCGUGGGGAGCAACAGGAUUAGAUACCCUGGUAUUCCACGCCGUAAACGAUGUCGACUUGAGGUUGUGCCUUGA